rnacentral:rRNA from 1 species
ACGACGCUGGCGGCGUGCCUAAUACAUGCAAGUCGAGCGGACCAAAGGGAGCUUGCUCCUGGAGGUCAGCGGCGAACGGGUGAGUAACACGUGGGCAACCUGCCUGUAAGACUGGGAUAACAUCGAGAAAUCGGUGCUAAUACCGGAUAAUAAAAAGAACUGCAUGGUUCUUUUUUGAAAGAUGGUUUCGGCUAUCACUUACAGAUGGGCCCGCGGCGCAUUAGCUAGUUGGUGAGGUAACGGCUCACCAAGGCAACGAUGCGUAGCCGACCUGAGAGGGUGAUCGGCCACACUGGGACUGAGACACGGCCCAGACUCCUACGGGAGGCAGCAGUAGGGAAUCUUCCGCAAUGGACGAAAGUCUGACGGAGCAACGCCGCGUGAGUGAUGAAGGUUUUCGGAUCGUAAAACUCUGUUGUUAGGGAAGAACAAGUGCCGUUCGAAAGGGCGGCACCUUGACGGUACCUAACGAGAAAGCCACGGCUAACUACGUG